UACGUAGGGGGCUAGCGUUGUCCGGAUUUAUUGGGCGUAAAGAGCGUGUAGGCGGCCAGAUAGGUCUGCUGUGAAAACUCGAGGCUCAACCUCGAGAUGUCGGCGGAAACCAUUUGGCUAGAGUCCGGAAGAGGAAAGUGGAAUUCCUGGUGUAGCGGUGAAAUGCGCAGAUAUCAGGAAGAACACCCGUGGCGAAGGCGGCUUUCUGGGACGGUACUGACGCUGAGGCACGAAAGCGUGGGGAGCAACGGG
rnacentral:rRNA from 1 species